AAUGACACUUUGGUAAGGAAAGAUGGUGGAACACACACACACACACACACACACACACACACACACACACACACACACACACACACACGGUGUCCUUGUAAAGAGCACUCAGCCAUGUGUCCAUUCAGGUCUGUCUGGGGGUGCAGUGUGGGUCACAGUGGAGGGUGAGAACCUGAGAUAAAGAUCGCUCCUGCAGCGACUGACCGGUGAAAAAUGCGAGAGGGGUGGAAAGGUUGCGCUGGAUCUGCUGUCCCUCGUUUGGUGCCAGCGUGAGGACACAGAAGGACACUGAGAGAUCUUUCACUCGGCCGUGGCAUCUUCCAACACCUGCACUGGUGCGCUUUUGUCCCAGGCUCGCCGUGUGUGCUCGGCCCUACAUUAAGGCCACUGUGCAGGAAAGGAACUGGCUUUGUGUGUCUGAAUAGGUGGACGUUGGUGUAGGAUCAGGGUGGUGUGACUCUUUUCCCCUGGGAGUAAUCGGCUCUCCUGUCCAGCCCGGCAGCAGACUGCAGACAUCAGUGUCUCGUUCUUUCAGCAUGUGAGAAGAACUGUUUCUCUUCGCAUCUUAUGAAAGACUCUCUUUCUUCACCAUCUCAAAACCCAGCGCAGGAAGUGGGCCGCUGGAAUGGGGCUCGGCUGGAGGACACUAAUCUCUCUGAUGAGACGCAGCCACGAGGAUAACAAAUCACCCCUGAGCGAAAAUGUAAAGCGUCAGGCAAAAUGGCAAGAAUCUCAUGUUGCGAUUGUCGGAGCCGUGAUUAUGUUACACGAUACGCAUCCCAGAAUGUAGUGCCGAGCUUGUGUUCCACUCUCAAGUGUGUUCCUCUGGGAGAACCAGGAGCAAAUCUGUGACGUACUGAACUGAGUCUUACACUCAGUUCUAACUACUGAGUGUCCGUAAACACACUGAUAAACUAAUACCUUCUUCAUAAUGACACAUGAAUGAUCCCGAGUAAAUAUAGGGUUUAGUCUUGGUUAUUAAACAUUAUUCAUGCUUAUACAGGAUGUCGCUCACAUGACGAAAAACACUUUUAAUAUUUCCUGAUGCAUUUAGGGUUUCAUUCAUGUACUCUUCUUCUUCUCCUUUUCCUUCUUCUUUUUUUCCUCCUUCUUCUUCUUAUUUUUAUUUUUUUUAAUGAAGCUUUAGUAAUUAUUAGCUAUUUUUUCCUAUGUGUGGUAUGUGUGAAACACACACCAUGUCUUACAUUUAUGUUAAAUAGAUUAGAGAUGCAUUAGUGAUUAGAUGCAUGAAACAAAUUCUAAAUAGGUGCAAAGGCCUUUACUCCACCGUGAUUAAUGUACAUUCAGUUCAUCCUGCUUGGCUGUGAUGGGGAAAGUAGUCCGAGAGUAAAUGAGGCAUUUUACAGUUUGUUGAGAAGAUGAAGAUUAGCAGGGGAGAGAAAGAGAGAGAGAGAUGGAAUCUUGAGACAAGGCACAAUGGUUUUCUUCCCCAUGUGAAAUGUCACACUAAAAUAUAUGAUCUGUAAUAUCCAAAUGAACAGACAAUUUGCUCCGCAUCGAAAAGCAACAGAAGCAACAUCACACAUCUUCAGCUCUCUCCAUAUGUUUGUACAUUUACAUCUACAAUAUAUGGACAAGGGUUUGUGGAAAAGAUUGGUAUCUG